UAGACCGACCUCUCGCUUAUGAUGCUACAAUGCUACACACCGAAAUAUUUCUGCAUCCGGCAUGCAUGCACUAGGGCGUGGCUGGCUCCCAAGAUGCCAUUUUUGAAUCCGCUGUCCUUUCUUUAAUAGGUCCAUGGAUUAGAGCCCCCCAAAAAAAAUUAAAUUGUUCAGCACAGCCAAUGACAAGAAGGAUUAGUUUGUGACGGAGUUAGCAACAUUAGCGAAUAAUGAAGAAGAGGAAAAGGGUGAGGCGUAUUGUAUUU